GCACAUAUAAAUGUCCAACAUCAAUAUUGAAAAUUUACUGAAAUGUUACCGUACGUGUGCAAAAUUAAAUUUUUAUUUCAAGGCGUACCCUAGAUAUAUUAAUACUUGCAUCUUUUGGGUUCCAUUGAAAUUAAACAUAACAAAAUUUUAAAUGUAUUAUUGCACAAUUUCACACUUUAAUUAUUGAUUCGUAAUUCUUAUGAGUGGUCUUAUUGUGCUAAAUUAAAAAUUAUUUUACAGUCGCCGCUUUAAAUAUUUAUUUGCUGCACACUCCAAAAUAAUAACAAAGACUUUAUCUAAAGUUCAUAAACAUCUGGAAUCAAAUUAUAGUCUUACUUUUCAACUAAACUACUUGGAAAUCAGACUACUACUUUCAUAAUUUUAAGUUCUUUUAUUUCUAUUGACUAUUACGAGUUUUUGAUAUUACUAUGGCACAAUUUCAUAUUUUAAUUAUUGAUUUAUAAUUCUUAAUAGAGAUUUAAUUGUGCAAAAUUACAAGUUAUUUCACAGUCGCUGCUAUAAUUAUUUAUUUGCCGCAUACCCAAAAUAAUUACAAAAUUAAAAAUAUGUUACUCUUUGAGUUAUAUUAGCAUUUGUAGUUUAAUAUAUUUUGCAAUAAAUAUUAAGGAAUUUUAUUAGGGAACAUUAUUAAC